rnacentral:tRNA from 1 species
GCCCCUGUGGCGCAGUGGGAUAGCGCGUAGCUCUUAUAAUGCUAAGGUCGUGAGUUCGAACCUCACUAGGGGCA